AAAAAAGGAAACAAACAAAAAGAAUAUUUCAGUCUUUCACUCCCAAAUCCAUUUGUAGGGCAGAGUAACCUAUUUUCCAGUAAAGAUCCCACAAACCACAUUUUGCUAUUAAAAGUCUGUUUCAUCCGCUGGGAUGCAAACACUUUGUGCAGGAAAACACCACAUUCCCCGGGCGAGGAGGGCCGGGUGCUGCGGGUGGGAGCUGUGCUCCAAGUUGUGCUGCGAACCGCGCGGCACCGUCCGGCCACCGUGGGGAUGAAUGGGGCCGGCACCCCAUCGGGGUGUGAGUUUAGCAAAGUGAGAGCCCCGGCAAAUGCAGAAGGAAGGCCGUGCAGCCCUUACGACAGAAGGUGAGACUCAACCUCACAAUCUAAUUUCAGCCCUGGCAUCACUUCUAUUGAGAACCGAAAAUACUUCCUCCGGCAAACCCACGCCUAAAGAAGGCGAUGUUGGGAACGCAAUGCAAAUGCAGAGAGCCUGC
ensembl:lncRNA